CUUGCACAUGGGUUAGUCG
rnacentral:snRNA from 1 species